UUACAUGAUACCAUCUUCCUUUAUUUCCAGUUCUUUUGUUAUUAACUCCUUACAUUUUGUUGCUGGUCUUGUUAUUGUUCAGUGGGUCAGUUUCCUGCUUGGAACAAUGUCAUGGCAAUAGGGUUUUAUAGUACGCCCUAUAAAUAUACAAUUCAAAUAAAAAUUUAAUUUAAUAUUAGAAAAAAUAUUAAUUUAAUAAAAUAAAAUCAUUAUUUGAUUAAAAAACGCAACUUUUAUGUUCUCUAGUGAUGGUGAAUAAGAUUUGUAGUGGUGGUGGUAGUGGCUAGUAAUGGUGGUGCUGAAAGCUAUGAUGGUACAAGUGGUUGAUAUUGGAGUGACUAUUAUGAUGGUGGUGAUUGGUAGUACUGGUGUUGGUGAAGUUAAUUUAUGUUAGUAGUUGGGUGGUGACUGAAGAAUGUGGUGGUAGUUGGCGGUGGUUCUAGUUGUGGUUGAGAUGGUUACAAUAAGGAUUGACCACAAUGGUGGUAGUGGGCUGAUGGUGGUGGCGCUGAAGAAUGUGUGUGAUGGUUAACAAAGUGUUGGUGCUAGUUCGCGGUAGCGCUAGUUGUGAUGGUGGAGUUGGCUGGUAGUAGGUAUUGGUGGUUGAUAGUGGUGGUGGAGAUGGCGACAAUGGAUAUAGUAUAAUACGAAGGUGGUAGAUUGUGAUGACAAAGGUGGUUAGUGGUGAUGUCAGGUGAUUAUGGAUGGAGUGGUGGUGAAUAUUAUAUUGCACACAAAUACCUCUUAAUGAUAUUAAGACUUAGUUCAAGAUCGUAGUGAUUAAGACCUAUUCAGACCAAUUAAGUGCUUCAAUCUUAAUGAAAACAAAUGCACUUAAUGGCCUAAUUCAGGCCUCCACUAAAUGCAAGCAAAUGAUGCCUAACUAUUUCCCCCAAAAGCAAAUGUUCCAGCUUUUAAGAAGAUCAACAGUAUUUUUAGGCACACACCGUUGAUUCCCACAACAUUGAGUAAUAGUUUCCAUAGUUGGAUAGUAAAAGAGAAAUGAAGAUACAAAUGGCUAUUAGUUUCAGUGUCCAAAAAAAAUGGCUAUUAGUUUCUGUGGUUGUCUUGCAAAACUAACAUCUGGAGCAUAGUUGGAACCUCAUUCUUCUCAGCCUUUCUUGAGUCAAAACUGCCUGUCUCGCCACCAACCAAGUGAGACAAAAAAAAACUAUGAAGGGGCAAUUUUUUUCAAAUUGGCUUCCAUGGAUAGCCAUCAAUCUGUUGGACACAGUUACCAAUUAUCAGAUUGGCAGACUUGACUGGGAAAUUCCCAUCUCUAUAAUGAUUUCACUGCACCUCUGCAUCUGUUAACCCCCUGAAAAUCCUCCAGAGUCUCUAAGAACUCCAAUGUUCCUUCAAUUUCCCAAUCAUUUAGAGCCCUCUAGAAGGUAAUGUUCCACCCUGGCAUCUCCUAAACAGUGUUGUCAAAAGCAAAAAGCGCAAAAGAGCUCUAAGGUACGUCGAGGCUUUAAGUGCAAAGCUUUGCGCAAGUAAAGCAUGUGAUUUAAUGUAAAAAGGCGCAAAGAGAGAAUAAAAUACAAAUAUAUAUUUACUCCAAGACUGAUAAUUUAUAAGCAUGAAUGACAAAUAUAAGAACAAAGAAAUUGAGAAAUAAUUAGUAUAAAGUGAAAUAACAACUGCUUAGUGUUAUCUCUUCAGUAGAGUUCAUUGGCAAGGAAAAGUAUGUCUUAGAACCUUGAUGAUGACACUGAAGUGCACAUUGAGCAAGGGGGAAGCACUCAACACAUUUUGAACCUUGUACCAGGGUUUAACCGCACCUUUGAUAACACUGCUCCUUAAUUAUGGGUAAAUAAAAGCAUAUGGGUUGAUUGAGAUACUGAACAAAUCAGGAAAACAAUCUUGCAAAUACGCAUGCCUUAAUCAGUUGACUGAAUGUAGAACAAGGUCUUUCUACCAUUAUCAACCUAGAUGCUAGAGUUCUCUGCUUCAUCAAAAAAAAAAAAGAUGUUAGAGUUCUCUAAAAACAAAUUCCAGUGUUGUCUAAUGGAUCUGCACACCCCUAUAGACCAUAAGGGUUGUUAACAUGAAGUGUGAACCACAACCUUUCCUGACCAUACUUGUCGCAAAUUACCCUUCUCGAUAAGCUAUUCUCUUUCAUAUUAUACCUGCACAACUAUUUCAUCAAAAGACUAGUAUUUUGAGCAUUUAAAUCCCUAAUUCCCAGGCCUCCUUUUUAUUUGGUAGUGAUUAGAUUAGAGACUUCCACUAGAUCAGGUGCAUAACUUGUUCGUCCUUGUUUUGUUUGCCAAAUGAAAUUUCUCUUUAAAGCAUCAAUUCUAACCCUUGCCUGGUAAGGGGAACAAAGACAUCACAUAAGUUGGUAAAGCAUCGAACAUACUAUUAACCAAAAUAACUAUACCACGAAAGAUAAAUACUGACUUGUCCAGCUAGCCAAUCUCUUCUCACAUCUUUGAAUCACUUUAUUCCAUAUUUCAAUGACCUUGUUUUGGAAACCUAAAGAGAGACCCAAAUAUACCGUUGGUAGGGUCCCAGCUCACAUCCCAAAAGUGCUGCCAAUGACUGGAAAUUGUCAACCACAUCAAUUAGAAAACGGAAGCAGGACAAAUAUACUAUCACAAAUAGUAUGUCAAUAGCCUCCGUUAUACUUCAAGAUUGUAUACACCCUUACCAUCAAUCUUUUGGGUUGUGUAUACCCUUAAAGCUAACGGAUGGACACAUGGCUCAAUCUCAAUAAUUUUCCCUAUUUUAUAUUAAAAUUUUUAUCCAAAAUUAAAAAAAAAGCCCAUCUUUUUUUUUAAUUUUAUUUUAAACCCAUUCCACCCACAAACAAAAUAAGAUAACCCUUCAUCUUUCUUUGUAAUGGAUCAUCAGUGGUCCCUUGCUGACCAAAAAAAAAAAGAAAACUUUCAUCUUCAAGAAUGAGGCCAGUGCAUCCUCCCAAAAGUUUCAAAGAAUAACAGUGUACCAACCCCUUUCGACAACACAAAUUGAUCAUGAAGGUAAAAAUCUUAACAUGGAAUGUAAGGGGGUUGAACAAUGAGGAUAAAAGGAGACAAAAAAAAAUCCUUGGUUCAGGGGGAGCAAUACAUCUAUGAAUUCAUAGAAACUAAAUUAUGGGGACAACUUUGGGGAACAGAUGGGUUGGAGGGGUAUGGGUGGACUCCAUUGGUAGAAGUGGUGGAAUCAUUGUAUUAUGGGACAAGAGGGAAUGGAAAGGGGAGCUCAUCGACAGUGGCAUUUAGAUGCUCCCUUAUAAACUAUUUGGGAUCAGCCAAGACUUGACUUGGUGUCUUCCUGUUGUAUAUUCAGAGUGUGACAGAAAAGAAAGAGAAGAGUUGUGGUGGGAGAUCUCAGCUAUUAGAGGAAUAUGUGAAGGGCCCUGGGUGAUUUUUGGGGACUUAAAUGUAUCCAGAUUUCCCUCUGAAAGGACAAACUAUAACAGAAUAACCAGAGCCAUGGCUGAUUUCAACCAAUGCAUAAAUGAUCUUGAGUUACUGGAUCCACCUCUUUCCGGAGGUUAUACAUGGAGAAGAGGUCAAAAUCACAGUUGUGCCACAAGAAUAGAAAGAUUCUUGUUCUCUUCCUCAGGAGGAAGGAUUCAUAGACAAAGUGAGAGAAUGGUGGAGCGGCUUCAAUUCCACUGGCUGAAUUGAUUUUCAAUUGGCUAAGCUCAGUCAAUUGAAAGUCAAGAUCAAAGAAUGGAGCAAAGCUAACAAGAACAACUGGAAGGAAAGUAAAAAUCAGAUUCUGUCACAAGUGGAAAUCUGGAAUCCAUUCAGGAUCUCAAACUUUUGUACAGAUGAUGAACGGUUGGAGAAAAUUCAGCUGGCUAUGGAGUUUGAAGAGGUGUCCAGAAAUGAGGAAAUUUCUGGAGGUAGAGAUCCAGGGUACAACGGGUCAAAAAAUGGUGACAAAAACACCUGGUACUUCCACGGAAUGGCCAAUGCUCACAGAAGAUUCAACUCCAUUGACAGCCUCAAAGUCGAGGGUUGAAGUUACUGAUCUUGAAGAAAUAAAAAUUCCAUAGUGAGCUUCUAUCAGGAACUCUACAAGGAGUCUGAGAAAGCCAAAAGGAAAGGUUCUUCGACUGAAGCCCGAGUCGACUUUUUGGAGUUUAAGAAGGUUUAAAUCAUUGCCCACUUAAUACAUUGUUUCCUUUUUUUAGUGGUGCACCCAUGCUCAAGAAAUUCUAGAUUCGCCUCUGAAUUGUCAAAAAGCAUAAAAGGUUUUGAGGGCUAGGUAUCAGUUCCCACUUAAUAAAUUUUUUUCUUUCAGUGGUGCACCCAUGAUAUAGAAAUCCUAGAUUCGCCCCUGAAUUUAACUCUUUAUCUUCUACAAAAACUGAAUUCGACACACACCUUUCAUCAGAAUAGGGUGUUAGUCUCUUACUAUCUCCAAAACACUGUGACACCUCUCCAAAAUAGCGAUUAGGGUUCUUGUUGAAAUUGCCUUCAUUUGUCCCGGUGACUUUCAUCACCGGAGGGCUUUCACACCAUAUCUGCAUUUCAAAGCUCUGCUCGAUCUCGACACUACUCGGAUUCUUCUCUAGAGAACCUUUUACCUUAGUUCUGGCCUAUUUCAGAUGAUUUUUUAGAAGAGUAUCUUCUUUCGUUUCUAUCCCUCCACAUUUCCCCCCUAUUUCCUUGACAAGGUGGUUUUAUGCAGGUGGCUUCCUCAAGCUGAAAUUUAAUGUGGUCUAUUUCCUAGGGAUUGAUGUAGUGUUUUUUUUGUUUGGAGCAAAACUUACUGAAAUUUUCUUUCAGAAAAUUAAAAGAAAAAAUAAAAGCUUAUCAUAGUUAGGAAA